rnacentral:rRNA from 1 species
GACGAACGCUGGCGGCGUGCUUAACACAUGCAAGUCGAACGAAGAGCGAUGGAAGCUUGCUUCUAUCAAUCUUAGUGGCGAACGGGUGAGUAACGCGUAAUCAACCUGCCCUUCAGAGGGGGACAACAGUUGGAAACGACUGCUAAUACCGCAUACGAUCUAAACUCGGCAUCGAGGAUAGAUGAAAGGUGGCCUCUACAUGUAAGCUAUCACUGAAGGAGGGGAUUGCGUCUGAUUAGCUCGUUGGAGGGGUAACGGCCCACCAAGGCGAUGAUCAGUAGCCGGUCUGAGAGGAUGAACGGCCACAUUGGGACUGAGACACGGCCCAGACUCCUACGGGAGGCAGCAGUGGGGAAUCUUCCGCAAUGGACGAAAGUCUGACGGAGCAACGCCGCGUGAGUGAUGACGGCCUUCGGGUUGUAAAGCUCUGUUAAUCGGGACGAAAGGCCUUCUUGCGAAUAGUGAGAAGGAUUGACGGUACCGGAAUAGAAAGCCACGGCUAACUACGU